CUUCCCUUUCCCAUCUCCCAUCUCCCUUUCUUCUUUUCCCCUUUCCCUUCUCUUUCCUUCCUUUCCCUCCGUUUCUUCCCACACCUUCUAUCUUUUCUUUCCUUUCCUUAUUCUCUCUACGUUUACCAAAAGGAAUCGAAUCGUGUCACAUUUUCCUCAAUCAUUUGCAUAACUCAGGGAGGUCUUUAAGUACCUCAAGAAGCCACUAACCUCAAUCACUCCAAGGUUGUUGUUUUUAUGACUCCGAACUUAAUCUUGAACUUGCAACAGCGGGGGUACAAUUCAAGCUAGGCCUCUCUCAAACCGAGUCAUCCGUCACUGGAACAACCUCACUGCGACGGGGAAGCGAUCAACCAGGAGGGGGUCAUUGUCGUAGGAGAUCUGGACGGCAUCACUGAAAAAAAAGGACAGCCGCGGUAUGAGCCAAAGGGACUGACUGCUGCCUGAUCUGAGCUUCCAUGUUCCUUCCUCUUCCUGUAUCCAUCGGUUCUGGCCACACACUAGUAUUUCUCACCCUCCAAAGCCCAGGGACACUUCUAUAUACCUCAAUAAACUCCCAAACUCACUUCCUGGCUUCUCCGUACACUCGCCGAGGCUGCUGGGGGGUGACAGGCUACCGGAGAUCAUUUCAGCCUUCACCAGCAGCGUUGCCAAACUAUCGUACACAUCGCAUUCCAUUUUCGUAGUUUCUGAUCAAUAACUAUAGCAAAAACAAGCAAACAAGAUCAAUAAAUAGGAGUUUUAACGCUAACUUCAAUUUUAUAUCGUUACUUGUGUGGGUACGAGAGUUUGCGGCUUAAAAGUGGUGAGUACGAUAAUUUGGCAAGGCAUACUUCAUACAUUUCACCAUACCACUGUGCAAUCCAAGUCACAUUUCGCUCAUUCAUUUGCGCAGUUCUUCACUCACGCCAACACACAAUUGAAAUGUCUACAAUGAUUACGGAAGCCUGGCUGUUAGUGCGUGGGUGUCUGAGUCCAUAGUCCACUGACGCGCUCCACCUCCACAUCUGCAAAAGUACAAAAAGUGGAGUAAAGUUGAAUCUCAUUGGUGGAUGCUGGGAAGGGUUGAAUCUCAUUGGUGGAUGCUGGGAAGGGUUGAAUCUCAUUGGUGGAUGCUGGGAAGGGUUGAAUCUCAUUGGUGGAUGCUGGGAAGGGUUGAAUCUCAUUGGUGGAUGCUGGGAAGGGUUGAAUCUCAUUGGUGGAUGCUGGGAAGGGUUGAAUCUCAUUGGUGGAUGCUGGGAAGGGUUGAAUCUCAUUGGUGGAUGCUGGGAAGGGUUGAAUCUCAUUGGUGGAUGCUGGGAAGGGUUGGAUCUUAUUGGUGGAUGCUGGGAAGGGUUGAAUCUCAUUGGUGGAUGCUGGGAAGGGUUGAAUCUCGUUGGUGGAUGCUGGGGAAGGUUGAAUCUCACUGUUGGAUGCUGGGAAGGGUUGACUCUCAUUGUUGGAUGCUGGGAAGGGUUGAAUCUCAUUGGUGAUAUUUCCUACACAAAAAAAAUAUGACUGGACCCCUGUAGGUAUUGUCACAGAAUAGAUUUUUGUGUGUAGAUGUGACUGGACUGGAGCCAUUUAGGAAUUGUGACCGGCUGCCUUUUGUGUGUAGAUGUGAGUGGACCCCUGUAGGAAUUGUAACAGAAUAGAUUGUUACGUGUAGGAGAUGACUUGUAUCCCAGUAGGAGUUUUGUCACUACUCGCAAAACCGCAAAAGCUGUAGAUGUGACGUUUAGAAAGUGUGUCGUAGGAGAUGUGGCGCACCCCCCUCCCCCCCCCUCCC